rnacentral:tRNA from 1 species
GCCCUCAUCGUCCAGCGGUCCAGGACAUCGGCCUUUCACGCCGGUGACCGGGGUUCGAAUCCCCGUGAGGGCGCCA